rnacentral:tRNA from 1 species
GCCUUCAUGGUGUAGUCGUCAACACGCUGGGCGCGCAUCCAGAGGUCCGUGAUUCGAAUCCCGGCGAAGGCG